AACGAACGCUGGCGGCAUGCCUAACACAUGCAAGUCGAACGAGACCUUCGGGUCUAGUGGCGCACGGGUGCGUAACGCGUGGGAACCUGCCCUUAGGUUCGGAAUAACUCCCCGAAAGGGGUGCUAAUACCGGAUAAUGUCUUCGGACCAAAGAUUUAUUGCCUUUGGAUGGGCCCGCGUUGGAUUAGCUAGUUGGUAGGGUAAAAGCCUACCAAGGCGACGAUCCAUAGCUGGUCUGAGAGGAUGAUCAGCCACACUGGGACUGAGACACGGCCCAGACUCCUACGGGAGGCAGCAGUGGGGAAUAUUGGACAAUGGGCGAAAGCCUGAUCCAGCAAUGCCGCGUGAGUGAUGAAGGCCUUAGGGUUGUAAAGCUCUUUUACCCGGGAUGAUAAUGACAGUACCGGGAGAAUAAGCUCCGGCUAACUCC
rnacentral:rRNA from 1 species